GAGUUUGAUCGUGGCUCAGGACGAACGCUGGCGGCGUGCCUAAUACAUGCAAGUCGAGCGAGGGUUUUCGGACCCUAGCGGCGGACGGGUGAGUAACACGUAGGCAACCUGCCUCUCAGACCGGGAUAACAUAGGGAAACUUAUGCUAAUACCGGAUAGGUUUUUGGAUUGCAUGAUCCGAAAAGAAAAAGAUGGCUUUCGGCUAUCACUGGGAGAUGGGCCUGCGGCGCAUUAGCUAGUUGGUGGGUAACGGCUACCAAGGCGACGAUGCGUAGCCGACCUGAGAGGGUGACCGGCCACACUGGGACUGAGACACGGCCAGACUCCUACGGAGGCAGCAGUAGGGAAUUUUCCACAAAUGGACGAAAGUCUGAU
rnacentral:rRNA from 1 species